UACGAAGGGGGCUAGCGUUGUUCGGAAUUAUUGGGCGUAAAGGGCGCGUAGGCGGCCGAAUAAGUCUGACGUGAAAUCCCACGGCCCAACCGUGGAACUGCGUUUGAUACUGUUCGGCUCGAGUCCGGGAGAGGGUAGCGGAAUUCCCAGUGUAGCGGUGAAAUGCGUAGAUAUUGGGAGGAACACCGGUGGCGAAGGCGGCUACCUGGACCGGUACUGACGCUGAGGCGCGAAAGCUAGGGUAGCAAACAGG
rnacentral:rRNA from 1 species